GAUAAUUCCGGAUANGUCNUGANUGCUGGAAUGCUUCGUGGUAAAAAGGCUUCGGCUGCCCAAGGAUGGAUCUGCGGCCUAUCAGGUAGUAGUGGGUGCAGCGUACCUACUAGCCGACGACGGGUACGGGUUGUGAGAGCAAGAGCCCGGAGAUGGAUUCUGAGACAUGAAUCCAGGCCCUACGGGGCGCAGCANGCGCGAAAACUUUACNAUGCGGGAAACCGCGAUAAGGGGACACCGAGUGUCAGCAUAUUAUGUUGACUGUCCAUAUGUGUAAAUUGCAUGUGAUAGCAAGGGCCGGGCAAGACCGGUGCCAGCCGCCGCGGUAACACCGGCCGGCCCGAGUGGUGAUCACUAUUAUUGGGGUCUA
rnacentral:rRNA from 1 species